rnacentral:rRNA from 1 species
AACGAGUAGAUACGUACCCAGGGGUCCGGGAUAGCCAUGCGAAAGCGUGAGUAAUACCGGAUAAUGUCUCCGGACCAAAUAUUUAUAGCCCUUGGAGCGGUCUGCUUACUAUUAGCUUGUUGGUGGGGUAAAGGCCUACCAAGGCGAAGAUGGUUAGCGGGUGUGAGAGCAUGGCCCGUCUCACUGGGACUGAGACACUGCCCAGACAUCUACGGAUGGCUGCAGUCGAGAAUCUUCCGCAAUGGACGAAAGUCUGACGGAGCGACGCCGCGUGAUGGACGAAGGCCCUCGGGUUGUAAACAUCUGUCGUAGGGGAGGAAAUUUUGACCGAUCCUAGGAGGAAGCACAGGCUAAGUUCGUGCCAGCAGCCGCGGUAAUACGAACUGUGCAAACGUUAUUCGGAAUCACUGGGCUUAAAGGGUGCGUAGGCGGGUUAGUAGGUCAGAUGUGAAAGCCCACGGCUCAACCGUGGAAUUGCGUUUGAAACCACUAGUCUUGAGGGGAUCAGAGGAGAGCGGAACUGAUGGUGGAGCGGUGAAAUGCGUUGAUAUUAUCAGGAACACCGGUGGCGAAGGCGGCUCUCUGGGAUCUUUCUGACGCUGAGGCACGAAAGCUAGGGGAGCGAACGGGAUUAGAUACCCCGGUAGUCCUAGCUGUAAACGAUCUGUACUAGUCCGUGGGGACCCCCACAUCUUCUCGGACGUAGCGAAAGUGUUAAGUACAGCGCC